rnacentral:lncRNA from 1 species
CUUCAUAUGGUUUAAAGAAUGACAAUAGUAACGAGGCAUCAUAUCAUGGGAAUGCCUUUUGUCAUUUGGACCAUUUUACCCUUGUGCAUGUGGGCGACUAUAUUGUUGUAUUUUCUCGGUCUUUUAUGUAGUGGACCAUUUUGUCCUUGGGUGUUAUAAUGGUUAACUAUGGAGAGAAUGUAGAUUAAAAGUAUCUGAAAUACGACAUGACAUGUUAUAAUGGUUAACUAUGGAGAGAAUAUAGAUUAUUUACUUCAACUUUUUAACAAAAUAUUAAAAUAUUUAUAAAGCUUGUUAAUGCAUAUUUCUAUGAUUCCAAAAUAAAGUAAUUAAUUAACUAUACUAUCAAUUGAUAAUAUACAUCCAUAGGCAAAGCUAUUGAAACAACUGAUAACAGCCUGUUGAAUGUUUGAAUCAAUAUUAUUAAGAGUUUUUGUCACAGAAAGCAAAAGCCCUGGCCUCCGGCUGCAAAACAUGAGUAUGUUCAUCUUUGCUUGACUUCAAUCUACAAUUUACCCUAAUGGUUGUCUUGUGGGGGGAGGGUGGCAGUGGGGAAAGGUAUUUUAUUUCUAUAACGUGGUAUCAACAACAAAGACAUAGUAAUUGAAGAUCCAGAAAAAACAUCAAAUUUCCCAAAUAUUCCAUACUUGAACAACAAAUCGGUUUACAAAAAAUUGAGAAGAAGAUGAAGUAAUUGUGGUCACAUAAAGUCGAAUUCCACCUUCCUCUUUCUCUUUCUCCCAUUCCAGUCUCCGUGUUUCUAUUACUGUCAUUGAGAGAUUCCUUCAGGCGCUGCGUUUGGAGUACGAUAAUAUUAGCACAGGUAGGCGAUUGUAAAGGUGGGAGAGGAUGGUGGUGGGAGACAUGAGACGUGGUGGCUGCUCUCUGGAUUUAAGGUUAGAGAGGGAGCGAGAGUAUGUUCAUAGAGCAGCGGAGAAUGGAAAGAAAGAAAUCUAGUGGAGAGGCAAGCAAAGCGGUAGAAACCAGACCUAAGAAUGUGAUGGGAAGGCAAGGUCGGUGGUGGUCUGUUGAUGGAG